UACAGAGGCCUCGAGCGUUAGGCGGAAUCACUGGGCUUAAAGCGCGUGUAGGCGGAUCGUUAAGUGUCUUGUGAAAUCCCACGGCUCAACCGUGGAACUGCUGGGCAUACUGGCGAUCUUGGGCCACUCAGGGGCGACCGGAACAAGCGGUGGAGCGGUGAAAUGCGUAGAUAUCGCUUGGAACGCCAAAGGUGAAGACAGGUCGCUGGGGGUGUGCCGGCGCUGAGACGCGAAAGCCAGGGGAGCAAACGGG
rnacentral:rRNA from 1 species